UCAAGUCGAGCGUGAAAGCCUUUGGGUGAGUAUAGCGGCGGACGGGGGAGUAACGCGUGGGAAUCUACCUAGUAUUGGGGGACAACAGAUGGAAACGGCUGCUAAUACCGCAUACGCCCUAUGGGGGAAAGCGGGGGAUCCAUUUUUUUCGGAGAGUGGACCUCGUGCUAUUAGAUGAGCCCGCGUAAGAUUAGCUAGUUGGUGGGGUAAAGGCCUACCAAGGCGACGAUCUUUAGCUGGUCUGAGAGGAUGAUC
rnacentral:rRNA from 1 species